UCUGUGGGGAAGCAUAUCAGGCACAAAUUAUUAUUCAAAGCAGAGCGUUUUCAUAUGUCUUAAAACAUGUCUCGAGGGGAACUUUAAAUUUGCAUUGACUGCAUAUAUUUUACAUUUAAAUUCAGUGUUAUGCAGUCCUGUGUUAUAGAAUGACAAAUAAAUGUACCUUGAAUAAAUAUUAUCAGUUUAGUCAGUUUAGUAGUUAUUAUUAUAUUGGUACUGAUGAUGAUGGAAUAACUUAAAUAACUUAAAAUGAAACAAAUAAUCUAAAAUAUUUAAAUGCCCAAUUCAAAUAUACAAAUAGUCUCCUAUUCACUAGUGAGAAAACGAGUCAGAUUAAUAAAGUAUUCUCUAGGGAGUUGAUGUUGAUCUUUAAUAACAUCAUUAAAAGAGUACUCCACAGAUUUAGCAUUGCGCUCCUAUAACAUUGUCAGACUCACGAUGGACACUUUUAAAAAAGGAUAUAGGCCUAAAUCGAUGCAGCAGAACCAGAGAUAUCAUCUUUUUUAUUCCAUACAUUCCUCUGCCUUGUCAAAACCUAGUGCCUACAUUAAUAUUCAAAUAUUCAACUAUUAUGCAAUGAAAUGAAAACAUUUCCCAAUUACAAAUGACCAAAUAACCCUGAUGUCCAUGGUGGAAUCCUCAAUCAACUCCACGUUAGGCCAAAAAAGCCACAAUUUUAACCAGUAAUUUUUAGUGUGUAUGGUAUUUACACAAAUAUCAGUCCAGAGGAUCAGAUCGGUGCAGCCUGGCCUCAGGUUUGGUGAUAUGAAUAAACACACUUUAAUUUAAGAAUAUGCAACAUGAAAGCACAACUUCAAAUGAAACAAUGGUAAAUGGACUGUGAAAGCUUUUACUACAUAUCACCCUAUGCUCAUCAGUUGAACUAAUCAUUCACACACAAGUUCAGUGUCUGGACCCAAGGACACUUCGGCGGCUGGGGGAAGCUGGGAUCGAACCGCCGACCUUCCAAUUGGUAGACGACCCGCUCUACAACUAAGCCACAGUCUCCCGGAAAGUCGUGAACGUCUUAAACGUUGACCCAGGUCCCCUCUUCAGUAUUAGAAAAUAAAACAGAACCUAUUUUAUGUCAAUUGAUAUUUAGUGUCGCACAUUGCCAAUCAAUUCUUUUACUAAAUCAAAUAACCACGUAACAAAACACAGUGGGCUGCGGCUUUCAGGCCAAUUUCCUGGGUUUGUAAUCCAGCCUUGAUUGAGUUGCUGAAGGUCUCCUGGAGCUGGUUAUUGUAAGGUAGAGGGUUCUAAAUGCUCUUUAUUAAUGCCAACACUUAUUUGGUCAGUGAUGUGUAAAUGAACCACAGAUUUGUUCCGAUUUCUGCAACAGCCUAUCAAAAAUGAUCCACAGGCCGUCGGCGUAUCUCGGUUGCGCGCACGGAGAGACUGGAGGAGGCACACUGAGAGAGGAGAGAAAGAGGGAGAGAAAGCCUACCCGGAGAGUGAGUGAGAGAGCCACAGCAUCCAAAACCAGGCAUGGGGGUGUCGGUGUGUGCAGUGUUGGAGGACUGAUUUAUAUUUUUUAUACAUUUUUCAUGCAUACUCGGACUUUCGUCGUGUCAAAUGUUCCUUUUUGGUCAAGUUUUAAUUCUUAAGCAUGUCAAAGGCUGCAUCCGUGUCUUCCGUCAUUUAUUUUGGAUGUGUCUUCAUUUGCGGAGGAUUCAUCAUCAUCUCGGGGAAACUCGACGGGCGCAUCUCAUAUCUUCUUUGAAACCUUCUGGGUCUGAAGGCACAGCAGAGCGGACACCUUAGGCGGAGGUGAAGUGCUGAAAGAAGACAAUGCUGCUCAUCCCGUCCAUCACUGGCCGCUGCAUUUGGCUCCGUGAGCUCGACUGUCGGCUCUGCUGUGUCUUUACGCGCUGAGAGGAGGAGGACAGGGGAGGCUUUUCCCGUCAGUUGAAUCACGCUUCGCUACUGAAUUGAUUGACUGAUCUGAGGGAGGGAGGGAGGGAGGGAGGAGGGGGAGAAUUUGGAUGUGAGACUAAUCCAAAAAAGAGCAGGAUCCAGAUCUGCUGGUUGGUUGAGCUUCAGGGGACAGGGGAGACCAGCCACUGGACCUUUGGACAUUUGUUGCGGAGGAAUUUUUUUUAAUUUUCUUUUUUUUUUUUAAAUCAUUUAAUUUCAUCCUUUCUACCUACGGAUAAAGGAGGAAAUAAAGGGAGAUCAAGAGAAGAGGGAACAUCAGGUUGACGCUGCUUUGCGGGGGGGGGGGCUGGGGGGGUGGGAGAGAAAAAUGCUGCCUUCGCAAGAAGCCUCCAAAAUCUACCAUGACAACUACAUGCGCAACUCCAGGGCCAUCGGGGUUCUGUGGGCAAUAUUCACCAUCUGCUUGGCCAUCAUCAACGUGGUGGUCUUCAUCCAGCCCUACUGGAUCGGCGACAGCGUCAACACCCCCCAAGCCGGCUACUUCGGCUUGUUCCACUACUGCGUGGGCAACGGGAACUCCAACCGGGAGCUCUUGUGCCAGGGCAGCUUUUCCGACUUCAGCUCUAUCCCUUCGGGAGCCUUCAAGGCGGCCUCCUUCUUUGUGCUGAUGUCCAUGGUGCUCAUCCUCAGCUGCAUCGGCUGCUUCGCCCUCUUCUUCUUCUGCAACACCGCCACGGUCUACAAGACGUGCGCCUGGAUGCAGCUGCUAUGCGCCGUGUGUUUGGUGCUCGGCUGUAUGAUCUUCCCCAAUGGCUGGGACUCCGAGGUGAUCCGGGACAUGUGCGGAGAGGACACAGGGAAGUACACCCUGGGCAACUGCUCAGUGCGCUGGGCCUACAUCCUGGCUAUCAUCGGCAUCCUGGAUGCCCUCAUCCUCUCCUUCCUGGCCUUCGUGCUCGGCAACCGGCAGAGCGACUUCCUGCUGGAGGAGCUGAAGUCCGACAACAAAGAUUUCGCUGUGUCAAGGGAGGUCAACUGACCUGGAGGAUGGAGGAUGCAUGAUCUCAUAUGUCAGAUAUCCUUAAAACACUGAUUGAAAUCCGGGACACCAGGGAUCCAAGAUUUGGAGUCCGGCGGUUCCCCUGAGACCCAAACUUCCUCUCCUUCUCUUCCAGUCCCCUCCCCCUCCCUCCCUCCAUCCAUCCUCCUCUUGCUACUCCUCUUCUCUCCUAAGCUCUUCAGGUUAAACCCUUGAUCUGGGCCUGGAGGCCAAAGCCCAGCAGUUUGUAAAAUAGGACUGAAAUAGAAUCACCUAACAAAGGCAAACUCUGUCUGUUGGAAGAGAAAAAGAUCCUGAGAGGAAGUAUGACCAUCAGCUUUAUCAAACUCUGGGAUACAAUCAUUCAUAACAUACAGUGUUACUGUCUCAUAAUGUUGUUAUAACAAAGAUUAUGAAGUUAUUGAUAAUGAUAAUAAUGCUUGCAGUAGGAGUAUUCUAUGAAAAUAUACAUAUUUUUAUUGAGUGGAUUAAAGCUAUUUCCAGCUUUAAAAGUUACAUUAUAAAGUGCAUAUGUAAAAGCACACAGGUGCUACUUCUGAUAUAAUAAAAAAGAAAUGGAAAAAAAAACAAGAACAAGGGAAAAAGAUGAUUUUGUACAGCCACAGUGUAAUUUUGUCUUAAAAAGUCUUUUUCAGGCCAAUUUUCAACUGCUCUUUGUAUAUGACAAGGUCUGAUCCCAGGAACUACAAAAAUAAAACAUGUAUGUAAAUUAGAUGUUUCUAUGGAAACAGGGUAAAAAGAGACACUUUUAAGCAUUUUUUUGUCCCCAUACAUGACACAUCCUUGUAAGCUGUAAAACCUGUUUGUCAAAUCAUGAAGAAAAAAGUAUGGAUUCCACUUGUCUUUUAACCCUGUGUGUAAUUUUGAGCCACCCCUCAUCCUUCGGUCCACAGUACACUGAGAAAAGAAAAGGCUGAGAGGCAGAGAAAUGUCUUUCCUGACUUUUCAUUCUGUUUUGUCUUUGUUUUUUUCCGAAGCGUGUUUCCUCCCCCAACUCACUGGUCAUGUUCAGUUCUGCUCUAGUCGACUGGGUUUGGUGUGUACGUCCGCCACCACGAAAGGCCCUGCAUGCUGCAUCUAUCUCAGGCUUGCAAAGACGAAGCUUCCUGUAUAAGCUCAGCAGGGCUCACACUCCGUUCAGUCCAACAGGUCUGCUGCACUAUCCAGGCCCACCAGCUGAAGAGCACUCAGCCUCCAUGUUGAGAGGACAGACCCAGCACAGACUUUCAUCAAGACAACAGACAUCACGCACUGUGCCGCUUCCCUGCUCUGAUUCCACACAGGACCCUUUCUAUGGAGAGAGAUUAGUGCUUUAAAAUACAUAUAUUUGAAUUUGACAAUUCAUUUUGAAUGGAAGGCACAAUUGAAUGCAAAGGCUGGAAACAAAGCAAGAAUGACCCAAAUGUAAGUAAAUUAAUGUCAUUUUACCUUCAA